rnacentral:rRNA from 1 species
UACGAAGGGGGCUAGCGUUGCUCGGAAUCACUGGGCGUAAAGCGCACGUAGGCGGAUUGCUAAGUCAGGGGUGAAAUCCUGGAGCUCAACUCCAGAACUGCCUUUGAUACUGGCGACCUUGAGUCCGGGAGAGGUGAGUGGAACUGCGAGUGUAGAGGUGAAAUUCGUAGAUAUUCGCAAGAACACCAGUGGCGAAGGCGGCUCACUGGCCCGUACUGACGCUGAGGUGCGAAAGCGUGGGGAGCAAACAGG